GACACUGAAGUCAACCAUACUUAUAUGUACCCUUUCUGUGUCCCUGUUCUAUGGUCCCACUAUCUUGCUCCGUAUCUUCUGUUCCAGCAGCAGGGGUGGAGUUUGCUGACAUCACCACAGCUGUGACAUCAGAAAGCUCCAUCCAUGCCCCAAGCCCGUGCCUGGAAUGGAAGAUAUGGAGCAAGAUAGCAGGGCCAUGGAACGGGGACAGGAGCAGCAAAGAAGACAGACUGAGUAACCCACACAUUCCAUGUUUGGCCAUUCAGCUUUUCAAUGCUUAGAAAUAAUAUGAGCCUUGUUGGGAAAACUCUCAGAGUGAACAGAUUUAUCAUUUCAAAGAACGAAGCCUUGGAGGUCUGCUGAAGAGCUGUCAAGGCCAUUGUUUCCAUCUCUAAAGAAGAACUGCAAUAAGGAAAAAUGGUCUCUAUGUGCCUUUCACAUCCUACAGUACAAGCUUCAACUAUAGAAAUAAAAGCAUUACAAGCAACAUAUGAAAUUAAAAAUAAGACAUAGACAUGUCAAGAGUGUCAAGACUACAUCAUGUCACAGAAGGCUUAUAGUAAAGGAUGCUGAUCCAUGGGGCGAUUCAAUUUUUUUUUUCCUUACUAGGCAUAAUUAUAAAAUGUUUCAUUGACUUUAUUUGUUUGCCUUCCCCUGGAUCAAUAUGGCUACAGGCAAAGAAUGAGCACCACUGCCAAUUAAACUGUGUUGUACUGUAGGGAGGAAUUGAUGGAUACAUGUCUUUCUUGACCUUAUCUACGACAAAU